rnacentral:lncRNA from 1 species
AGGAGGCCGCUGUGUUGGGAUGUCCUGCUUGUGCCGAAGAAGAGUUGGAGAAGCUUAAGGAGGAAGAAGAGAAGAAGGAGUCGCCGCCUCAGCAACCACCACAACCGUUCCAACCACAGCCACCGGGAGAAAAACCACAACAACCACCACAACCGUUCCAACCGCAGCCACCGCAAGGAGAGCCACAAAAACCACCGCAAGAACCACAAGGACCACAAAAGGCGCCGUUCCAACCGCAGCCAGGGCAAGGAGAACCACAAGAACCGCAAGCAUCCAUGGAGACGAAGAUGAGAGAUGAAGAGAGGAAGAGAGAAGAAGAAGAGGCGAAGAAGGAAGAGGAAGAGAGAUGGAAACAAGAAGAGAAGUUGUGGCCGACUCAACCUCAGUGGGAAGACUGAGAAGAAGGAGAGAACGCCUAGAGAAGCUUUUGAGUCAGAGUGUUUGUGUUAUAUACUUAUAUAUAUGGUCAGAAGUUUGAAUUUGAUGUCUCUUGUUUUUUCUUUUAUUUUGUGUAUGCUACGUUUAUGUAUUGUAUUG